AGACUAACUAGUUAGUCAUUGUGCAAAGGUUAAACGCGUUAAGUUGGAAUUUAGCGGUGCAGGAGUCUGAUGCUUCCUUGUAUUUAUAACUAUCAUUCAUGCAAUUUAACAAAGAUAAUCUUCACUCAACAUGGCUAAAGAGAGAUCAUAUGUAACUGCUCUUCUUCUGCUAUAUCUGCUUUUGUGUAUUUCAUCUCAAUCUCAAGUUGGUGUUGCCAAACGCCACACACUUACUACCAAGUAUUCGGAUUCUCAAAGCGCCACCGAAAUUCCCGCAAGUCCACCACAACCACAUCCCACGCCGAAAGUGCCUACACCACACUCGAUGUCACCCAAAGAUAAAGGACCAUAAGUGAUCAAAUGAAGUUUCAAAAAGUGAAGGAGAGUACAAGAAGAGUCGACUUUAUAAUUGUGUAACUGUUAAAAGUCUUUUUUUUUUUUGGUCGAAGUUCACUAGAGACAAGCUCCCUAGGUGUACAAGCACAACAUUCAAUAAAAGCAUGAAAAAUGGAAUAAGAGGCAUCCAGUUUAUCAAGCAGGAAUGCACACUGGUUUUUCCCUUAGGUCCAGUGAAUCGGUAAAAAGGGUUGAAGAUUACUCCUCCUUGGAGCUAAUAUCUCUGAAACCAAGCUCCUCAAUCUCGGCCAGUGGCGAAUCGCUUGGAGCAGUGUCUUAGAGUCGGUUUCAAAUAUGACCUAUCUUUAAGAAUGUGUAUAUUCUUCAUAUAAAAUUUUUAAUUGAAAUAACAAGAAUUUGCCUACCAAUGAAACGUUACUGAUGCUAAGAAACUAUUAACACUCUACAAA